AUUGAUGUGGGAUCUGUAACAUAUUCUUUCAUGUUGAGGAUUGAAUAUCUCAAGCUUGAGAUUAGAUAUUUGUGGGUAGUUUGAUAGAAACUUGAUAAUGAGUGACACAAUAGGUUCAACAAACUUUAUUAGGAUAAACUCUAAUACAAUAGAGAAAUUAUAUGCAUUCAUGUAAUAGAAUCCUCUAGUGUGUAUGAGCACAACGGAGGAACAUUUAUACAUAUAUCAUGCAAGGUGUCGCAUAGGGAUAGGUCCAAGUCCAAACCCAAAAUAUCCAUAUAACUAGCAGAAACCAUGUGAGAAAAUGAGAAAGGAAAUUUUGUGAAGUGCCUAUUCCACUAAGUAAAUUGAUUUAUUUUAUAAUAAUUAUUACAAAGAUAAUAAAUAACAAAAACUAUUUUCAAGAGAACAAUUAAAACAUUCACAACUUUCUUAGGACCAUUGAACUAUUCUAAACACUGAUUGAUGUACUUUGUAAAGAUAAUUGUUGAAAUAAAAGAGAAAGAGACAUGGGUUGAAUCCCUAAUGUAUAUGGAACACAUAGGGUUAUGUAUUUAUAAAUAAGAAAAUAUAAAGAGAUGGGCUUAAGCAUGUUACAUCUAUUAGCUUUAAUAACAGAAAUAUGAUAAACUGAAUGCGGAACAUCUAACAAUUACAAACAUUCAAUGCUCCAAUUUCCAACAAGCAAUAUCAUGAUCUUCAUUGUUUAAAUGGAAAUUUGAAGUCCCAUGCCUGUUGUUUGUUUCUCUCAAUAGAUGGAUUAUAGCAAUAAAAGUGUUUGCAGCGGUCAAUAGCUCGAUAAUUUUUAUUAGUUAUCUGAGCUAUUGAGUGGUAAAUAAUUACAUUUAUUCUUCAAUAUUUGAUAAUGGUGCUUGGUUACCUUCCAUCAUCUAGUACUUACGUAUUUUGUUGUUGACUUUCAGUUUCUUCAAUUGCACUUAGAUCCAGCUACCAGUAAUACUCUUCCCGCAGCUGGAAAUAUAACCCAAAAUUUGAAAAUUACUAACAGCCAACAUGGGAAGAAAUCGCUUGUCAUGCGUACAAGGAUAGCGUACAAGAUAAAUGGCAAGGAUACACUAGAGGAAGGACAAGUCAAUAAUUUUCCUCGUGAAUUGUGAAGCUCAAUGAUCAGGGGUCAUUAAGGUGAUGCACAAAACCGUUCGUUUUCCCCAGCCUUCCAUAAUUACUGGUGCAGUUUUAACGUUUCAUUCCUUCGAAUGAGGUAUGGUUGGAGCAUCUGGACCACUUUUUGGCUUAAGUUUGAAGUCGAUUCAGUGGCUUCAUUUCUUUCUACCUUUUUUUUACCUAGGUGGUUUAUGUACAUUAGUACAAAAUAUUCCUGUAUGAAUGUGAAAGUCAAAUUUUGCCUCUCAAGGCGAUGAGAGUCGUGUCAUGUUGGGUACUUGAGGUGCUUUCUUGGUAUUUUUUCGGAGGUAGUCGCUCGGUCUUGCUGUCUAAAGUUAUAGUGUUGUUGAAUGCAAUUUGGUAUCCUUUAGACGAUUGAUAUAUUUGAUUUUAUGUAACUUUCUCCCCUAAAGAUUAAUGAAAUGUAAUCUCAAAAUUGUCAGCUCUCUU